AAUYCGUCGACUUUAGAAAUCGUGAGGGUUCAAGUCCCUCUAUCCCCA
rnacentral:tRNA from 1 species